AGAGAUGUGUGAUGACGCAUAUCAAUAAGCGGAGGAAAAGAAACUAACAAGGAUUCCCUUAGUAACGGCGAGUGAAGCGGGAAGAGCUCAAGUUUGAAAUCUUCAAGGUUUUACCUUGACGAAUUGUAGUUUAUAGAAGUGUUUUCUGUUGAGUUCGAGUGAAAAGUUCUUUGGAAUAGGACAUCAUAGAGGGUGAGAAUCCCGUAUUUGACCGUUACUUUCUAGCUUUGUGAUACACUUUCAAAGAGUUGGAUUGUUUGGGAAUGCAGUCCAAAAUGGGUGGUAAAUUUCAUCUAAAGCUAAAUAUUGGCGAGAGACCGAUAGCGAACAAGUACCGUGAGGGAAAGAUGAAAAGAACUUUGAAAAGAGAGUUAAACAGUACGUGAAAUUGUCAAAAGGGAAGCGCUUGACACCAGUGUUGUUUUUCCGAAAAUCAAUUACGAAUGUUUUGUUUUUAAGGAGUUAUGACUUCAUCGGCUUGCUCCUUUCUUUAUGAAACUUUCUUAAUGCACUUUUCGGUUAACAAGUCAACAUCAAUUUCUUUUGUUGUAAAAGGGUAUGAGGAAGGUGGCUUUCUUUUCGGAGAAAGUGUUUAUAGCCUUGUACCUCUGCAAUCGGAGAGAUUGAGGUCUGCAGCGUAGAUCCUUCGGGGUUAGAUACAUUUGUGCUAAGUUAUAGCUUUUCAUAGACAACUUGUUGACUAUGAUUAGUCUUGUAGCUUACUCGCUUAUGCUAUUUUACCUACGCUUAGGAUGUUGAAGUCAUCGUAUCGCGC
rnacentral:rRNA from 1 species